AUUGAACGCUGGCGGCAUGCCUUACACAUGCAAGUCGAACGGUAACGCGGGGCAACCUGGCGACGAGUGGCGAACGGGUGAGUAAUGCAUCGGAACGUGCCCAGUUGUGGGGGAUAACUGCUCGAAAGAGCAGCUAAUACCGCAUACGACCUGAGGGUGAAAGCGGGGGAUCGCAAGACCUCGCGCAAUUGGAGCGGCCGAUGUCGGAUUAGCUAGUCGGUGGGGUAAAGGCCCACCAAGGCGACGAUCCGUAGCUGGUCUGAGAGGACGACCGGCAAGACUGAGACUGAGACACGGCCCAGACUCCUACGGGAGGCAGCAGGGGGGAAUUUUGGACAAUGGACGCAAGUCUGAUCCAGCCAUGCCGCGUGCGGGAAGAAGGCCUUCGGGUUGUAAACCGCUUUUGUCAGGGAAGAAAUCUUCUGGGUUAAUACCUCGGGAGGAUGACGGUACCUGAAGAAUAAGCACCGGCUAACUACGUGCCAGCCGCCGCAGUAAUAC
rnacentral:rRNA from 1 species